CGACCCCAGGUCAGGCGGGACUACCCGCUGAGUUUAAGCAUAUAAAUAAGCGGAGGAGAAGAAACUUACAAGGAUUCCCCUAGUAACGGCCAGCGAACCGGGAACAGCCCAGCUUGAGAAUCGGGCGGCUGUGCCGUCCGAAUUGUAGUCUGGAGACGCGUCCUCAGCGACGGACCGCGGGCGCCCCAAGAAGGGGGGCGCCUGGG
rnacentral:ncRNA from 1 species